AUUGAACGCUGGCGGCAUGCCUUACACAUGCAAGUCGAACGGCAGCAUGAUGUAGCUUGCUAGCUUGAUGUCGAGUGGCGAACGGGUGAGUAAUACAUCGGAACGUGCCCUGUAGUGGGGGAUAACUAGUCGAAAGAUUAGCUAAUACCGCAUACGCCCUGAGGGUGAAAGUGGGGGACCGCAAGGCCUCAUGCUUUAGGAGCGGCCGAUGUCUGAUUAGCUAGUUGGUGAGGUAAAGGCUCACCAAGGCGACGAUCAGUAGCUGGUCUGAGAGGACGAUCAGCCACACUGGGACUGAGACACGGCCCAGACUCCUACGGGAGGCAGCAGUGGGGAAUUUUGGACAAUGGGCGAAAGCCUGAUCCAGCAAUGCCGCGUGUGUGAAGAAGGUCUUCGGGUUGUAAAGCACUUUUGUCCAGAAAGAAAUGGCUCUGGUGAAUACCUGGGGUCGAUGACGGUACCGGAAGAAUAAGGACCGGCUAACUACGUG
rnacentral:rRNA from 1 species